UCGACUCAUGUGGUCGACGCUUGAGAUUAAAUCUCAUUUUCUUAUAAAUAGUACCUCAAAACCUUAAAUCACUUUUGACAAUAACAAGCCGCACACCCCACUAUUCUUUCCAUCUUCUUUUUUUUUUUCUUUCUCUAAAAUAGAUCUCCGCUAACAGUCUUUAUCGAUGAAUUUUCAAUCGGCUCCGACUCUCCAUAACAUCGUCGGUGAGUCCUUCACCAUCUUUGACCGCCCGCCAGCUAGAGCAACAACGUCACCAUCAGCCGCCCAAUUGCCUCCCCCUCUUCUUUACCCACCUCUCUUUUUUUGCCGCUCACAGCCACACCAACAACCCCAUUGUUGCCAUCGGUGAACAGCAACAGCUGCACCAACAACCCCAUGACGGUGCUAUGAAUGUCGCAUGACCCAUAACCGGCCAGACCGAUCACCAGCGUUGCCUCUCUCUUUCUCAAACAGCCAUCGUCGCUCUCUCCGUCAUCGUCAACUCCUCCAGUCGGCGAACACCAACCAAUAAUCGACGCCUUCAGCCGCUAGACAGCCACAGUCGCUGCCUCUGAUGCAACCACCAGUCGCGAUUCAGCCUCCCCCUCCUCUCACCUGUAACGUUCUCGGCGGAAUUUAUGAAUAACGAAGUUUUUGAUGAACCCGAUUGUUUUCCGGUUGGACGAGAAAGCAGGUGAUUCGGGAAACUUGUAGAGUUGUCGGGGGGUUUGUUUAAGGAUUGUCCCACUUAGUGCUUGUUUUUUAUUCAUUCUUGGUCUCUCUGUGUAAUAAUAAAAUUGUGUGACUGCAUAUCGGGGGCGAAGACUAUGUGAUUUAAAUAUUUUAUGUUCUCACUUAAGCAAGUAUGUAGUCUAAGAUUAAUAAUAAACUUAAUUAAUCGCCUAGAAGUUAUGUUUUAGGGUUUCUAAUUAAUUUUCAAUAUAAAAAGUUAUUUUUAAGCAUGUUUGUUUGAUGUCUAGCAUGUUUGGUUAGUUGUCACUCAUUUUUAAUCCUUUUUGCACAUUUAAUAAAUGUUUUUGCACAUUCAAAAUUAUUAUUCGGACACUCAAUAAAUUUCUACACUUUCAAAAUAAAUUUUUGCAUUUUUAAAUAUUUCUCUGCAUUUUCAAAAUAAUUUUCUGCAUUGUUUAUUUAGUUUCCUGCACUAUUUAAAUAUUUUUUUGCACUUUAAAAUAUUUUACUACACAAUUUAAAAUAAUUAUCUGCAUUGUGUAUUUAAUUUUCUACACUGCUUCAAAUAAUUUCUGCACUAUGUUAAAUAACUUCAGCACAACUUAAAAAAAUUCUGCACAGUUCAAACUUCAAACUCAUUUUUCUGAUUAAUUCACUAUACAGUUUUAUUAAUUUUCCUGCGCAACUUAUUCAUUUUUCUGAAUAUUUUAGUAAGUUUUUUUGCACUGCUUUAACUGUUAGCUUGUUUAAAUUUUUAAAUGUUAAUAAUUAUUUAUCACUUAGUAGCAUGUGUAUAAGUCUAAUUUUGUAAAAAUAAAUAAAUAUUUGUUUUGGCAUGUUAAUUACUUAACUAACCUUUAACUAAUCAAGAGGCUUGUUUGAAAUCAUUGUGUGCUACGUGCUAGUCCAACGUGCUUUGCUUUACGCACUUUGAGUCUAAUUAGGUAAACUUAAUUUUGUUUGUCUAGACCCUAAAUUCAAAUUAGAAAGGUCCAAUGCCUCUUGGACAUUAAGUUGGGACGGACAGAAAUUUUAGAAAACGCUAGUUUUAUCCGUUCUUUUAGAGCGUCACUAAGCUUAACAACCAGCCUAGGUGGAGGUGGGUAGACAUUCGGAGAUGAUGGUAACCCAACAUGUUUUGAUAAUGAAAAAUAAAAUGGUCACCCGAUAAUAACUCGACUUGUAAUACCCCAUACUUUUUUUAGCUCAGUUCAGCUCUUAGUUGUAUGUAUAAGAGGUUUAAAGCCUUAAAAAUUUCUCACUAAGUGUUAGGACUUAGUCAUUUUCAAAGCCCCAUAAAUUUUGAUAAUUUUAUUUUCGAUCUUUCCAACCUCGGAACAUUAAUUUGUAAGUUGAUUCAUGAUCGGGGUUAUCAAUAGUACAUCUCAGGUGUGUUUUGAAAUUUUUGGACGAGUGUAGGGGUGUGUUUGGAUCACCAAUACAGUAGCAGCACCAAGAUAAGCCCGCAAUGCGCCCUCCAGUGCACUACUAGGGUUGCCCACGACAGAGCCCACAACGCAUGGGUCAGUGCAGCGGUCCAGAGCCCACGACGCGUGCCCAUCGUCCGCCCCUUAUUUUUCCAGCUUUUUUUUUGUUUUUGCAAGGGCAAUUGAGUCUUUUUCCUUCACCCAAUUGGUCCAUAACAUGAGAUUAAGUGUCCCAAAAAUUCUCAAAAAGAAAAAGCAUCCUCUCUAAAAAAUAAACCCUAUCCUCUUCAAAAGAAACGAGGGAUUCAAGCUUAAUUUUCAAGAAAAUCAUCAAGAACCUUCACAAAUUCAUCAAUUAAGGUAUGUGAGAUUUUCAUCCAAGGAGCCUUUUCUCAUGGAGUCCAAGAAUUCAUCUUUGUAUUUUAAACUAUGAAAUUACAUGUUUAUGAUGAAUUAUCUCCAUGAAGUUUUUAUGAA